UACGUAGGUGGCGAGCGUUGUCCGGAUUUACUGGGCGUAAAGAGCGCGCAGGCGGUCGUACAAGUCGCGUGUGAAAGCCCUCGGCUCAACUGGGGAGGGUCACGCGAUACUGUUCGACUCGAAGGCAGGAGAGGGAAGCGGAAUUCCCGGUGUAGUGGUGAAAUGCGUAGAUAUCGGGAGGAACACCAGUGGCGAAGGCGGCUUCCUGGCCUGUUCUUGACGCUGAGGCGCGAAAGCUAGGGUAGCAAACGGG
rnacentral:rRNA from 1 species